rnacentral:rRNA from 1 species
ACUGCUCAGUAACACGUGGAUAACCUGCCCAAGGGUCCGGGAUAACCCCGGGAAACUGGGGAUAAUACCGGAUGGAUCACUAGUGCUGGAAUGCUUGGUGGUCGAAAGGUAACGCCCUUGGAUGGGUCUGCGGCGGAUUAGGUUGACGCCGGUGUAACGUACCGGCGUGCCUGUAAUCCGUACGGGUUGUGGGAGCAAGAGCCCGGAGAUGGAUUCUGAGACACGAAUCCAGGCCCUACGGGGCGCAGCAGGCGCGAAAACUCUACAAUGCAGGCAACUGCGAUAGGGGGACAUCGAGUGGCAUCCACCUUGGGUGCCUGUCCAACCGUCUAAAAAACGAUUGUUAGCAAGGGCCGGGUAAGACCGGUGCCAGCCGCCGCGGUAGUACCGGCGGCUCGAGUGGUGGCCGAUAUUAUUGAGUCUAAAGGGUCCGUAGCCGGCUUUGCAAGUCCCCUGGGAAAUCCAGCGGCUUAACCGUUGGGCUUUCAUGGGAUACUACAUUGCUUGGGACUGGGAGAGGUAGGAGGUACUCGGGGGGUAGGGGUGAAAUCCUGUAAUCCUCCGGGGACCACCGGUGGCGAAGGCGUCCUACCAGAACAGGCCCGACGGUGAGGGACGAAAGCUAGGGGCACGAACCGGAUUAGAUACCCGGGUAGUCCUAGCCGUAAACGAUGCCCGCUAGGUGUCACGACGGUCGUGAAUCGUCGUGGUGCCGUAGGGAAGCCGCGAAGCGGGCCACUUGGGAAGUACGGCCGCAAGGCUGAAACUUAAAGGAAUUGGCGGGGGAGCAC